UGCAUGGGACAGAGGGAGCUUCAGCAUCUCCACAUGGACUAUGAGAAACAGCUCUUUGCUGCCAUCUGCUGACGGACACUUCAGGCUGCAUCUGUGCAUGGUCAGGGCCUGAUCUGCCCUGUCCACUUUGUUUAAUCCGUAAAAGUCAUGAAAUGAGCCGGAAACCCCGCUAGCAUUGAGCUUGCUAGCAUGGCUAGCACAGGAGAACAUUGUUUUUAAUGAAUGGUGAUAGUUUUUCAUGCAACGUCUUACUUUCUAACAUCUUUUUUCACUAGCAGCUACUGGUGGAGCUCCUCAUCUGACUGUGCUGGCGUCCUCCAGUUACAUAAAGUACACAUUUGAUCGUUUAAUAUAGUAAAAGAUUUCACAAACAAGAAAAACUUACUGGAACCUUCUGAAAGUGGUAUGUUGAGCUAAGACUCUGAGUUAUUUGGUAGCCAAUGAGCUACUGGAUGUUGGGGAAGUCCCGCCUCCCCUCCGCUUGAUUGACGUGUCGCUGAUUUUACGUGUGCAGGUUUUAGUAUCGAAAAAAAUAAAAGCAUGACGCAAAAAAUAAAAGCGCGACUCAAAACGACGAUUUCAGAAUGGUGAGAAAACAAAUCAGCAGCUGAUAAAUAUGAUUGUGCUUUGGGUUAUAUCUUUUGGUUGCAAAUUGUGGGUUUUGAUUCUCAAUUUAUGCAUUUUGAUUCGCGGAUUUGGGGUUUUGAUGCGCAAUAUAUUAGGCGCUGAAUUGACACCAUAGUACGAGGACAGUACAUUGUCAUACUUCAGAAGUUCCGCCAUAAGUUUGAAAGCAUAGGGAAAGUCUAACGGGCCAUUCGAUUGGCUGAAAGUGAAGGCGCCUGCUUUGCUGAUGAGUUUGAAUGACAGAUUCAUUAGCCAAUGAUGACAUUAGUUGACCUGCUGGGUCAGGAGAGUCUCAAAAUCGACUGCAGGGAUUUCUUUCACAAAUGAGAGUGAGUUUGUAAAUGCACAUUCUGCAAUUCACAUGAUCUGUGAGUUCAUAUUACAAGUGUACCUCAAAAUUAUGUUUGUGAAGCAUUUAUUGUACAUUUCUCAAACAUUUAUUGUGUUUUUUUGAAGCACAGCGUGCACAUCUGUGGGAAACAAUUAUUGUGCAUUUGUGAAACACAACGUGUGCAUUUCCAAAUUGAUAUUGCAUGUUUGCAUAGAAUUACAGUUGUAAAUCGGAGUAUGGAUUUCUGAAUUAUGAGACUGUUCUGGACUCAUAGAGAAGGGGCACAAAGAGACACAUCUGCCCCCCUGGAGGGAUUUCCAACGCAAUGUGGAUGUUUCUAGCAUGUGCAUGAAGUCAGAGUGAAGCCACGACAAACUCGGCUAACGCUCAAAGACCCCCCAGCAACAAACCCCCAGAAAAACGAACAUAAAUGUUAUCAAAAGCAGGGCUGUCUUUGUAAAGUUCAAUGUUCUCAGGUCCUUUUGAGUUCUGAAAACAGGGAAACCAGCAGGAGAAAAGCCCAGCUGAUGUUGGUCAGCAUUCACGAGUACAACACUGCAGCCUUCUCUGUCUGAACUCGACCCAGAGGACACCGAGCACAGGGAGAGGACAGCAUGACUCAACAGAACCAGAAGGAAACUUGGGCCUGUUCGUGUUGGCCUCAGUUAAAGACGGCAGCAGAUGUUCAUCUUCACUGGGUCUGGUUCUGCUGGAGGGUUCUUCCAAACCUUCCUUUCAGAGGCCGCUUUCUUCGCCCCCGUCACCCUUUAUUUGCUCAGAAGAAGAUUACAUGGAAAACUCUUUGACGUUAUUUGUUGGUCACUUAUAAAGACCAAUAAAUAUAAAGUAAUAAAGAUGAUUUAUACGUUUUUAAGGAUUUGACUGAAUUGGAUUAUAAUAAUCUGGAAUCUUUAUAAUGACUAGAACAAUGGCUUGCUUUGAUCUUGCUUUCUUUUUGUGUAAUUACUUCAGACAACCUCCAGUGGGGAUUGGUCCUUUAUGAAUAAAUUGAUUGAAUUAAAA